GACGAACGCUGGCGGCGCGCCUAACACAUGCAAGUCGAACGGAGCUGAGAGAAGCUUGCUUUUCUUAGCUUAGUGGCGAACGGGUGAGUAACGCGUGAGUAACCUGCCCUGGAGUGGGGGACAACAGUUGGAAACGACUGCUAAUGCCGCAUAAGCCCACGAUCCGGCAUCGGCUUGAGGGAAAAGGAUUUAUUCGCUUCAGGAUGGACUCGCGUCCAAUUAGCUAGUUGGUGAGGUAACGGCCCACCAAGGCGACGAUUGGUAGCCGGACUGAGAGGUUGAACGGCCACAUUGGGACUGAGACACGGCCCAGACUCCUACGGGAGGCAGCAGUGGGGGAUAUUGCACAAUGGGGGAAACCCUGAUGCAGCGACGCCGCGUGGAGGAAGAAGGUUUUCGGAUUGUAAACUCCUGUCGUUAGGGACGAUAAUGACGGUACCUAACAAGAAAGCACCGGCUAACUACGUG
rnacentral:rRNA from 1 species